rnacentral:piRNA from 1 species
UCAGCUCUCAGCAGAGCAGAGGCCCUGGAGU